CUGGGCAUCAUGGGAAGCGGCGCGAGAUGUUUGUGAGGGGUUGUGUGGGAACGGCCCCUCUUGGCCUAUAACAUCCCGUGUUCAGCGUGUCUUUGCAGCUUUAUUUCUAAUAAUACGCAUUUCGUUAGCUUUUAAAGUUUAUCCGUUUCUUUUUCUCGGCUCCUUCGCCUUGUCAGUACUCUGCAAGUAUUGAGAGUGGUCCUGGUGCGUCCCUUCCAGCUCUGAGCGUUCUGUGAAUAACUUUGUGAAGCUGAUUAUACACAAUGGACCAGAGUCGUGGAUAGGAAAUGCAAGCCUUGCUGAAAUCUCUGGGCUCAUCUCAAGAACAGAUUGGACCCUGAAUACAUGUGGGAAGGAGCUGGAUGAGUAAAGAGAAAUAACCUAGGACUUUUCUCAGACCUGUAGUUCACCUAACCCCAUCCCCAGGACUGGCUGUAAAAGAACGGAAUAUAGGAUGAACAUAGGUGUUGUGUUACUUUUCAUUUUAUUAAUGCUUAAGUGAUUAACCCUGAAUUCCUUAACACUGGGAUGUGAUAGUUCAAUAAAAUCAUGAAUUCCUUCCAGAAAUACAUGCACAAACAAAAUGCAAUAAGUAAAGUCUUUGCUGAAAGAAACUAGGAGAAAAAAAAAAUCUCUGACAUAGAAACAGUCAAAGCAAAAGCCAAGUAUAAGAGAGAUCAUUUGAAAAAUCCUACCACCACAAAAAAACCCAAACAAACCAAAAACCCAUCAUUGUGUUAGACUUCUGAAGCAGGUUCCAAAAAGCAGCACCCCACAGCGUGUAGGACAAGAUCAGGAUGUUAAUAAAUAAUGCAUGUCCUCCAUCAGAGAUAUUUUAAUUUAUCCAUCAACAUGAAUUAAUUAAUAAUUUAAAAGGGCACUAUGAUACCCAUGUGGGAAUUCCUAUGAAAUGAAAAUUCAAGCAGUUUAAAAUGCACUAGAUUGCUCUCUAUUAAAAAACAUGUUAAGAGAUUUACUGUAUUACUAUUUUACUUCAAGCAACAAGUUUUUGAUAUGUUUGAACAUUAUAGUGUGCCAUUUGCAAUCCAAACAUUGCAGGAUUAAGUCCAUCAAGUGACUGAUUAUAAACACAAACAGAAUUAACACAAGUGUCUUUUAUGAAAUGCUACAACAAAGCAAAAAACAUUACCUAAAUUUUAGUUUCUCUCAUUUUAGCAUAUUUUACUAAUUCAGUAAAAUUCAUUUUCACUCAUAUAACUAACUUACACCACAGCCCUUUCCUUCUAAAGUUGUUUCAAGUAGUUUAAUUACUGCUACACAUACAAAACUAUUGUUGUUCUCAGAACAAAAGACAACUAGAGUUUUUAGAGUCAUGGACCAAUCAAUACCCAACCUGAACGUACUUAAAAAUAUUCAAAUCUAGGUGAACAAACUGGCAAAGUCAAUAUGUUUCUCUUCAAUGGAAAGUGUCAGAAAUUCUGCUUAUGUAUCCUUUUGAUUAAACAGUUUAAUUUUGGAAGUUUAAGCUAACUCAGAGUAGGAUUAGUUUAAUAAACACGGUCUUCAUAAAUUACAGUGGAUGAGGUGCUCAAGCUGUUUGUUGGCUGAGCCUGCGCUGCUCUCUUUGAACAUGCCAUACACAAAGCUUUUAACAGACCUGGAACAGAUUUCAGUGUGAGGAAGUUUUCUGUAACAGAAAGUACUCAUCAGACCUACUGUUGUGAAAGAGCUCCUAUAGGAAGUGGUAUCAUUCCUGAUGCUUUAAAAUUAGAAAAAAAAAUCCUGUGAGGAAACAAUUUUGUAUGUGCCUUAGUUUAAUAUGUAUGCACUUAAAUAUGCAUAUUCCAAACAGAUAUUUCCAGUGUGAUCCAUUCAAAACACCAGCAAAAGUAACAGUCACCAUUAGCCUGCAGUAGUUUGUAUUUUAAGAGAAGCUGGAUAACUUAGGUGAAGUUCUAAAAGAACCAAUGGAGAAAUCGAUGCAUGAAAUGUCAGCUCUCCCAGGGUAUCACAGAGGUCCUGUUUGGAGGUCCUAGUUGUUCACCCUGACAGCGAUCUCCUGACCCUGCAUCUUCCAUGCGGGCACUUCUGGUAACACUGUCAUUUUCGCAGCAGUUUCCUGUUUGAUAUUAACUAUGCUGUCCUAACUUCUUUGCAAGGCAAACAUGGUUUUUGCUCUGUGACAGAUGACUUUAAAAAUACAAGUGGACAGGCAUUUUUAAUUAAAGCCGAAACAAAGUUAAAUAAGCCUGAAGUACAUCCUGCUCUAGCACAACAUUAACUCUUAAAUAAAUCGUGAGAAGCCUCAGAGCCCUGUGUUGCCUCUGUACAGCAGAUGGCAUUACAGGUAAUAUUUAUCAUACUCCAAUUCCAAGGCAAAGAUAGUAGGGAGGGAGUACUGACGUCAGCUACAAGUGAAUCAGUCUUAAUACAAGCUGAAAAACUGCUUGUGCCUUCAACAGUCGAUUACAUUGUACAGCAUUUUUGCUUUGUGAUCCCCAUCUCACUUAUUAGUCUGUCUGAGCAAGCCUAGCAGGAAGAGUUCAUUUCGUUUUGCAGCUUAAAUGAACUGAUUUAAAUGCAUCUUGGACUUUGAGGUGGGAAGAUUCCACCCAGCUGCUGUAACCAGGGGAAUGCCCUUUGCUCCAGUUUUUGUGCCAAAUUUGUGCAUUUGAGAAUUUUAAACAAAUACCACUUGGCAGGAUCUUGGCCCUGGGUACGAUAAUAGUACUGAGUGAGACAGCAAUGUACGUACAGAGAUCUAUCAGUGCUGAUAGUGAAUAGUAGGAAAAACCAAUCCUCUUGUAUAAAGUGGGGGUUUGGUGUUAUUUUUUUCUCCCAAGAGCCGAGUGAUCUUCUGAAUGAAAGCCAAUAGCAAUCUUUCAUCUGGGGGAACUGUCAUCACACCAGAGUGAAAGAGUUCAGCAAAGGUUAAUUAUUAUUACGUAAACGAUGUUGUCUUCCUUGGCCGUCUGGGCCAGCCUGAGUGGAUGACCAGGGACGGAGGGAUUAUGAACUGCUCACGGCAUGCCCUUGCAGGAACACAGAGUCAUGCUCUGCCGAAUGCAUUUGACAGCCCUGCUCUCAUGCUGAGUUUCUCAAUCUGUGAGACAUGGCCGAUUGAUAAAGUGCUGCAGAGCGUGUCCCAUCCUGCUUUAGGGAAUGCAUUGUGAUGGGGCAUGGAGAACUCGUGUUCAGUUGGAAGUGAGGUGGGGGAUUACAGAUGGAGAAGCAACGUGCAUCCAGCCAGCGUAGGACAGAACACCUUGUGAUGGUGAGAGCUGUCUCAGGGCACACCGGCACUAUAGGCAGGACUGAAAUCUGGUGCCUUAAAGAAGGAAUUAGGCUGAAUUGGUCUUAGCAUAGAAGGGACCUGGACAAGAAGAAGGAAGAGAGAAUGAGUUGAGGGAAAGAAUGACUGUUGUGGAAACUCUGAAAAUAUGCACUUCCCUUUCCUGCUCUAGGUACAAGAGGAGGUGAGGCAGCAACAACCCUGAUGGCCAUGGCAAAAUGGGCUGUGCAGCAGUUUCCUAGUUCAGCAAGGCUGGGUUUAAGUUGGUCUUUGUGGUCUCUGCACUUUCGUUCUCCCCAUACAGAAUUACAAACGGGCAGGUUAUUUUUAAUGAAGUUUGGAUACCAUUUCAGCUUCAGGCUGAAGCGUUUCACACAUUGCUUAAAACUUUAGCACUUCAAAGGGGACGAAUAUUGUCUCUGUGCACAGCAGCCAAAUGCACACUGUGCCUUAAUGCUGUUAAUGACAGUUCUUCAGCAAUGCUCCCGGCGGGCUGGGUCCCUGCUGUACACCGCACAGCUUUUCCUUUCACCAGCUUAGGGUUCAGCUUUCGCAUCUCCCUCUGCUUUAUGCCUGCCUUUUGUUUUGCUGUUUACAUAUCUCUGGGCACGCAGUGCAGCAGCCUCCUUAAUGCAGGCACUCAGUGGGUUUGUGCACGUUCAGGGCUGCCAGCCAGGAGUUCCUCCAGCAUCAUACCCAGCCCACCCAGGGCUGGCAGCAGGGAAGGAUCAGUCCUUUGGGGUCUCCAUGCCCUGAAGCCGUGCCACCCGCACAGCCAUGCCUUUGUCCCACGUGCAAUGAUAACAGUGCCUGUUCUGUGACGAUCGCACCCUGCAGCCUUAUCUUAGCACUCCGCAGCCUUAUCUUUAGUGCUCUGGCAUCUGUUUGCCCUACAUAAUGGGUGAAUCCUCUCUACUUUCACCUAUUUUCCCAGAAAUCACAACCAUCAGACGCAGUGAGUUCGCAUUACACAAAACCGCACGCUGCCAGGGAAACGUAAGGAGUCGUCCUUUAAAAAUACUUUUUAGUGCCGCAUGAUUCACAUAACCGUCCUUAAUCACCAGAAAAGCGCAAAUGGCCACCGAGUCCCUAGGAGUUAUUUCGAGCACGCCAGACACGCGGCCCGAUAUGGGCGUGGAGGGCACAUAGCUGGGUUAGGCGCAGCCCCGGUGUUGAAAACAUAAUUGGAAUAAUGACAGGUAGAGCUGGAGGAGGCGGCGAGGGGCAGGAGCCGAGCGCUCGCUUCGCGGCCGCGACCACCGCAGCGCUGCGCACAGCGC